AGGGUUUGAUCCUGGCUCAGAUUGAACGCUGGCGGUAUGCUUAACACAUGCAAGUCGAACGGUAACAGAUCUAGCUUGCUAGAUGCUGACGAGUGGCGGACGGGUGAGUAAUGCGUAGGGAUCUACCUUAUAGUGGGGGAUAACUUGGGGAAACUCAGGCUAACACCGCAUGUGCCCUAAGGGGUAAAGCAGGGGACCGCAAGGCCUUGUGCUAUAAGACGAACCUGCGUCGGAUUAGCUAGUUGGUGGGGUAAAGGCCUACCAAGGCGAUGAUCCGUAGCUGUUCUGAGAGGAAGAUCAGCCACACUGGGACUGAGACACGGCCCAGACUCCUACGGGAGGCAGCAGUGGGGAAUAUUGGACAAUGGGCGCAAGCCUGAUCCAGCAAUACCGCGUGUGUGAAGAAGGCCUUAGGGUUGUAAAGCACUUUCAGUAAGGAGGAAAGGCUUAUGGUUAAUAACUAUAAGAGUUGACGUUACUUACAGAAGAAGCACCGGCUAACUCUGUGCCAGCAGCCGCGGUAAUACAGAGGGUGCGAGCGUUAAUCGGAAUUACUGGGCGUAAAGGGUGCGUAGGUGGUAAUAUAAGUCAAAUGUGAAAGCCCUGGGCUUAACCUAGGAAUUGCAUAUGAAACUGUAUAACUGGAGUAUGGUAGAGGGAAGUGGAAUUUCCGGUGUAGCGGUGAAAUGCGUAGAUAUCGGAAGGAACAUCAGUGGCGAAGGCGACUUCCUGGACCAAAACUGACACUGAGGCACGAAAGCGUGGGUAGCAAACAGGAUUAGAUACCCUG
rnacentral:rRNA from 1 species